rnacentral:rRNA from 1 species
UCGUCAGCUCGUGUCGUGAGAUGUUGGGUUAAGUCCCGCAACGAGCGCCACCAUCGUCAUUAGUUGCCAUCAUUAAGUUGGGCACUCUAAUGAGACAGAACAGAGACAAACCGGAGGAAGGUGGGGAUGACGUCAAGUCAUCAUGCCCUUUAUGACCUGGGCUACACACGUGCUACAAUGGACGGUACAACGAGAAGCGAACCUGCGAAGGCAAGCGGAUCUCUUAAAGCCGUUCUCAGUUCGGACUGUAGGCUGCAACUCGCCUACACGAAGCUGGAAUCGCUAGUAAUCGCGGAUCAGCACGCCUCGGUGAAUACGUUCCCGGGCCUUGUACACACCGCCCGUCACACCAUGAGAGUCUGUAACACCCAAAGCCGGUGGGAUAACCUUUAUAGGAGUCAGCCGUCUAAGUUUGUCCAGGAUGAUUAGGGUGAAGUCGUAACAAGGUAGCCGUA